rnacentral:rRNA from 1 species
AUUGAACGCUGGCGGCAGGCCUAACACAUGCAAGUCGAACGAGUGGCGGACGGGUGAGUAAUGUCUGGGAAACUGCCUGAUGGAGGGGGAUAACUACUGGAAACGGUAGCUAAUACCGCAUACUAUCAGAUGUGCCCAGAUGGGAUUAGCGAGUUGGUGGGGGAACGGCUCACCAAGGCGACGAUCACUAGCUGGUCGGAGAGGAUGACCAGCCACACUGGAACUGAUACACGGUCCAGACUCCUACGGGAGGCAGCAGUGGGGAAUAGUGCACAAUGGGCGCAAGCCUGACUCAGCCAUGCGGCUUGUAUGAAGAAGGCCUUCGGGUUUUAAAGUACUUUCAGCGGGGAUGCGUUACCCGCAGAAGAAGCACCGGCUAACUCCGUGCCAGCAGCCGCGGUAAUAC